GGGAAGACUGGGGGUUCAUGGCACGGGGUGGGCCAGGCCAGUAUUGUUAAUACAGAGUGCUAGAAGUAAGGGCUUCGCCCCUGGAAGAAGCUCGGAAUUCGGUGUCUUUGACUUCUGAUUUUUGUCUUUUUUUAGAAAAUGGAAAAAAUGAUUGACAGGAUGACGAGCAAGCAAGAUGCAGGUUCAUAGCCCUUGGGCAAGCAGCCAUAUCUCCUCGGCUAUAGAACUCAAGAUUUUUCUUCUAAAGAACCAUUCCAUCCCUAAGGGUCACAGAGUUAGGGCCAGUGAUUUUACAACCAACGCAUCCCCCUCGUCCAGUAUCCGAAUUGAGAUGGCAUUUAUUUGAGGGAAGAAGUAAUGAAAACAAAACAAUCUGGAAGCAACUCUUGGCAGACCAAGGAAUAACUGAAAACCUAAACCUUCCUGAAAUGGAUGGGAAAAGAAAAAGUGGCUCGCUCCCAAUGCCAGCAUUUUAGAAAUCUUGCUCCUUUUGGCAAAGGACCUGGGAAAAAGGAAAGGGACGCUAGAUGCUCUUAGUCUUAACCGAUUUAUUUGAGGGAAGGAGUCUUGGGGAAAGAAUCUUUUUGAUGUGAACCAUCUUCAGAGUCUUCACUGAAUUUGUUACAACAUCGCCUCUGCUCUGUGUUUCGGCUUUUUGGCGACGAGGCACACAGGAUCCCAGCUCCCCGACCAGGGAUCUAAGCCUCACCUUCUGCACUGGAAGGUGAAGUCUUAACCACUGGACCACCAGGGAAGUCCCACUUUGAGUAGUUCUGUUCCUAUUUAAUCGUGUGCAAAAGAAAACCCGAAAGAGCCGAGAAUAUUUCUGGAAGGAUACAAGGAUCUGUUUAUCCUGCUCACCUCUGAGGAGACCUCAGAGGAGGGUGGAGAAUUGGGUGAGAAGGGCACUUUUCACUCUAUACCCCUUUGUGACUUUUGAAUUUUGAACCAUGUGAAUGUAUUUCCUUUUUAAUGAAGAAAGAAAGAAAAGAAAAAAACCUAACCUCAAUCUCCUAAGCUAAACGCUGACACUAUUAGAAAGGUACCUUAAAAAAAAUAUUGUGUAUGUCACUUGCAUUUGCUACACUAAACACCUGUAACUUUUUUUCUUUUUAAUGAAAUAAAGGUCAC